rnacentral:rRNA from 1 species
UCCGGUUGAUCCUGCCGGAGGAUACCGCUAUUCGGAUUCGACUAAGACAUGCAAGUCGAGAGUCUUCGGGACUCGACGAACUGCUCAGUAAUAUGUAGUUAACCUACCCUAAAGACAGGGAUAAUCUCGGGAAACUGAGGCUAAUACCUGAUAGAUAUUCUGGUCUGGAAUGAUAUAAUAUCCAAAGAUCCGUCGCUUUAGGAUGGGACUAUACCUUAUCAGCCUGUUGGGGGUGUAAUGUACCCCCAAAGCUAUAACGGGUACGGGCCAUGAGAGUGGGAGCCCGGAGAUGGAUUCUGAGACAUGAAUCCAGGUCCUACGGGACGCAGCAGUUACGAAACCUUCACUAUGCAUUCACGUGCGAUGAGGGAAUCUGAAGUGCUUAUGCUUUGCAUAAGCUUUUGCUAAGUUGAAAUAGCUUGGCGAAUAAGGGGUGGGCAAGACAGGUGCCAGCCGCCGCGGUAAUACCUGCGCCCCAAGUGGUAUCCGGUUUUAGUUGGUCUAAAGCGUCCGUAGCCGGUCUAAUAAGUUCUUGGUGAAAUUCAUUGGAAAACUGGCGAGCCUGCCGAGAAUACUGUUAGACUUGGGAUCGGGAGAGGGUAGAGGUACUGCUGGGGAAGGGGUAAAAUCCUAUAAUCCCAGUGGGACCACCUGUGGCGAAGGCGUCUACCUAGAACGAGUCCGACGGUGAGGGACGAAACCUAGGGUAGCGAUCGGGAUUAGAUACCCCGGUAGUCCUAGGCGUAAACGAUGCCCACUUGGUGUUACAAACCUUACGAGGGUUUGUAGUGCCGGAGCGUAGGUGUUAAGUGGGCCACCUGGGGAGUACGACCGCAAGGUUGAAACUUAAGGGAAUUGGCGGGGGAGCACACAAGGAGUGGAGGCUACGGUUCAAUUGGAUUCAACGCCGGG